GUGCCUAAUACAUGCAAGUCGAACGAACUCUGGUAUUGAUUGGUGCUUGCAUCAUGAUUUACAUUUGAGUGAGUGGCGAACUGGUGAGUAACACGUGGGAAACCUGCCCAGAAGCGGGGGAUAACACCUGGAAACAGAUGCUAAUACCGCAUAACAACUUGGACCGCAUGGUCCGAGCUUGAAAGAUGGCUUCGGCUAUCACUUUUGGAUGGUCCCGCGGCGUAUUAGCUAGAUGGUGGGGUAACGGCUCACCAUGGCAAUGAUACGUAGCCGACCUGAGAGGGUAAUCGGCCACAUUGGGACUGAGACACGGCCCAAACUCCUACGGGAGGCAGCAGUAGGGAAUCUUCCACAAUGGACGAAAGUCUGAUGGAGCAACGCCGCGUGAGUGAAGAAGGGUUUCGGCUCGUAAAACUCUGUUGUUAAAGAAGAACAUAUCUGAGAGUAACUGUUCAGGUAUUGACGGUAUUUAACCAGAAAGCCACGGCUAACUACGUGCCAGCAGCCGCGGUAAUACGUAGGUGGCAAGCGUUGUCCGGAUUUAUUGGGCGUAAAGCGAGCGCAGGCGGUUUUUUAAGUCUGAUGUGAAAGCCUUCGGCUCAACCGAAGAAGUGCAUCGGAAACUGGGAAACUUGAGUGCAGAAGAGGACAGUGGAACUCCAUGUGUAGCGGUGAAAUGCGUAGAUAUAUGGAAGAACACCAGUGGCGAAGGCGGCUGUCUGGUCUGUAACUGACGCUGAGGCUCGAAAGUAUGGGUAGCAAACAGGAUUAGAUACCCUGGUAGUCCAUACCGUAAACGAUGAAUGCUAAGUGUUGGAGGGUUUCCGCCCUUCAGUGCUGCAGCUAACGCAUUAAGCAUUCCGCCUGGGGAGUACGGCCGCAAGGCUGAAACUCAAAGGAAUUGACGGGGGCCCGCACAAGCGGUGGAGCAUGUGGUUUAAUUCGAAGCUACGCGAAGAACCUUACCAGGUCUUGACAUACUAUGCAAAUCUAAGAGAUUAGACGUUCCCUUCGGGGACAUGGAUACAGGUGGUGCAUGGUUGUCGUCAGCUCGUGUCGUGAGAUGUUGGGUUAAGUCCCGCAACGAGCGCAACCCUUAUUAUCAGUUGCCAGCAUUAAGUUGGGCACUCUGGUGAGACUGCCGGUGACAAACCGGAGGAAGGUGGGGAUGACGUCAAAUCAUCAUGCCCCUUAUGACCUGGGCUACACACGUGCUACAAUGGAUGGUACAACGAGUUGCGAACUCGCGAGAGUAAGCUAAUCUCUUAAAGCCAUUCUCAGUUCGGAUUGUAGGCUGCAACUCGCCUACAUGAAGUCGGAAUCGCUAGUAAUCGCGGAUC
rnacentral:rRNA from 1 species